GACGAACGCUGGCGGCGUGCUUAACACAUGCAAGUCGAACGGAAAGGCCAUGCUUUUGUGGGGUGCUCGAGUGGCGAACGGGUGAGUAACACGUGAGUAACCUGCCCUUGACUUUGGGAUAACUUCAGGAAACUGGGGCUAAUACCGGAUAGGAGCUCCUGCUGCAUGGUGGGGGUUGGAAAGUUUCGGCGGUUGGGGAUGGACUCGCGGCUUAUCAGCUUGUUGGUGGGGUAGUGGCUUACCAAGGCUUUGACGGGUAGCCGGCCUGAGAGGGUGACCGGCCACAUUGGUACUGAGAUACGGCCCAGACUCCUACGGGAGGCAGCAGUGGGGAAUAUUGCACAAUGGGCGGAAGCCUGAUGCAGCAACGCCGCGUGCGGGAUGACGGCCUUCGGGUUGUAAACCGCUUUCGCCUGUGACGAAGCGUGAGUGACGGUAAUGGGUAAAGAAGCACCGGCUAACUACGUG
rnacentral:rRNA from 1 species